rnacentral:rRNA from 1 species
ACGCUCGACACCUACGGGAGCAGCAGUGGGGGAUAUUGCACAAUGGGGGGAACCCUGAUGCAGCGACGCCGCGUGAGGGAAGAAGGUUUUCGGAUUGUAAACCUCUGUCUUUAGUGACGAUAAUGACGGUAGCUAAAGAGGAAGCCACGGCUAACUACGUGCCAGCAGCCGUGGUAAUCUGAGCGGGCUGGCAAGGC